ACUUGUUUUUACAUUUUGCACAUGUUUGAUUUUCUAGGUUUUUUUGUUUUUUUUUAAAGAUGAGGUGGGGUGUUUAUAAAAACUGAGAAAAAGAAGAGCAUUGAGAAAAUAAAAAA
rnacentral:ribozyme from 12 species